rnacentral:rRNA from 1 species
GACGUAGGGCGCGAGCGUUGUCCGGAUUUAUUGGGCGUAAAGAGCUCGUAGGCGGCUUGUUACGUCGACUGUGAAAACCCGCGGCUCAACCGUGUGGUCUGCAGUCGAUACGGGCAGGCUAGAGUUCGGUAGGGGAGACUGGAAUUCCUGGUGUAGUGGUGAAAUGCGUAGAGAUCCGGAGGAACACCAGUGGCGCAGGCGGUGUCCUGGGACGUACCUGACGCUGAGACGCGAAAGCAUGGGGAGCGAACGGG